GUGCUGCCGCGGUGAUCCUCUACUUCGUGCCAAAUCAGAAGAGGGUCAAGUAAAGAAGAAGUCGAGCUCCUCCAUCUUCCAAACUCGUUUGAGGGCUUCUCUUUACUCUAUUUGUUUAUAUUGUUAUAUUUGCUUGUUUAAGAAGCUUUGAUUUGUUUUUAUUCUUUGUUAUAAUAUCUUGUAACUUGAUUCAAUCAAGGGAUUGAAUCAAGGGGUUAAAGGUUUGUUGGUGAGCCAAAGGGAAAACCAACGGUGUAAGGUUUGUUGGUGAGCCAAAGGGAAAACCAACGGAGUUUAGGUUUGUUGGUGAGCCGAGGGUAAAACCAACGUGUAAGGGUUUGAUUGUGAGCCCGGGAAAACAAUCAGGGUUGGUUCUAGUCGGUGAGCCUGGGAAAACCGACCGAGUUCGUUGUGCGCUCGUAAAACAACAAGUUGGGUUGUGAGCUUGUAAAACAACCGGCUGUAAUCUGUAGGAUUAUAGUGAAAUUCUCAAGAAGUCUUGGGGAGUGGAUGUAGGUGCUGGGGUGCACCGAACCACUAUAUGUUUGUUGUGUUUGUAAUGCUACUGCUUAUUGUCUAACUAACACACUCACUUACUUAGAUAAACUGCUUGCUUAACUCUUAUCUGGACAUCCUUUAGUUGCAAGCAUAUUUAAUCAAGUCACAUUCUAUACAUCAAACUGUUGCUAAGUUUAACAUUCACUGCGCAUAUAUACAACUUAGCAUAAUUAAUCAAAAAGUACUAGAAGUAGUUUAAAAGUUUUAAAAGACCCAAUUCACCCCCCCUCUUGGCUUGUAUCUACUGGGCAACA
rnacentral:lncRNA from 1 species